GUUUAUUGUGGCACUAUUCACAAUAUGGAAGACAGGGAAUCAACCCAAUUUCCCAUCAAGGAUAGACUGAAUAAAGAAAAUGUGGUACAUAUACACCAUGGAAUACUAUGCAGCCAUAAAAGGAAAUGAGAUCAUGCCUUUUGCAGGGAUAUUGAUGGAGCUGGAAACUGUUAUCCUCAGGAAGCUAAUGCAUGAACAGAAAACCAAACACUACAUGUUCUCAUUUAUAAGUGGGGGCUAAAUGAUGAGAACACAUGGACACAUGGGGGGAAAACAUACAUUGNGGCCUAUCUACAGACAAUAAUAUCUAUUGGAAUAAUUUAAUCUCUUUGGCAACUACUGGUUUGUUAGCCCCAAUUUCUCAAUCUGGGGUUGGGGGGAAGUACCAAAGCAUGUCUAUCUAUAAUCAAGAAAACACCUGAAAAUUCUAAUUGCCUGAUGAAUCAUGUAACUUCCUGUAUAAGCUCCUCAGAUGACAAAAU
rnacentral:lncRNA from 1 species